rnacentral:pre_miRNA from 12 species
AUAAGAGCAAAAGGCAUAGUUCAGUCUAAGUAGUAGUGCCGCAGGUAACAACAUUUGGGCUUACCUGCUCUCUGCUGCUUAAGUUGAAUAUGCGCUUAAUGCUAAG